ACGCUCACUUUGGCAGCGUUUAUGCUCAAGUGGGAAUGAUCCAGAAAAAAAUAUCAUGACCCUUGCACAAGGAUGACACACAAAUUAAUGGGGGGAGAGGGAGAGAA